rnacentral:tRNA from 1 species
GGAAGGAAAAAAAAAUGUAAUAAUUUGGUUUCGGCCCAAAAAAAGGGAUUUAAUUCUCCAUUUU